rnacentral:lncRNA from 1 species
UAUUGCAUUCACCGGUAAACCCUCACCAUUUUUGUUGCACAACAUAUUAACCAAAGAUGAUAUAUCUUUGUCCCUUCCGACAAUUAGGGACUCGUCUUCAAAAGGUGGGGUGUUGCGUAUCUCUCUACGUUGCACAGUAGAUCUUAAGUGCUCUACUGGAUGAAGACCAAUAUCAGUAGCCCAUUUACAAAUCUUGUCAAAGGAAGCAUUAAUAUUCUUGAUCUUAUGAGCCACUUUGGAACGAUAUAAUAAGGUGUUUUUAGAAGGAACAAAGCCUUAUGACGAUUCUCCACUUUUCUUCGGGUAACUUCAUACUCGAGUUCAUCCAUAAAAGAGCAACUUGUUCAAGCUUGUUAAACCACAGUUGGGCAGUAGACAUGUUUAAAUUCUGGGUAUGAGCCUCAUUCAAGAGAGCACCAAUUAGCUCAAACCUUUCACGCAGUGUAUCCAGAUCUUCAUGAAACUUCCAAGCCUGAAUCAACUCAUUGGUUGCCAGUGAAACAAGCUUGCGAACCAGUCCAGCAGCAAGAUCAGCUCCAGUUGCUUCAGCCAUUUUUUCUAGUCAGCUUCUUUAGUGUAUUAUUUCAGGAUUUUGAAAAUGGGGUACAAGUUUUUAAUAAAAAUUCGCAACAAAUGAAAUUUAAUCUAUUGACAAAUCACACUUAUACCUUUUUCCUGUUAGUUUUCACUGACCCAAAUCGAUGUUUAAAAUUGUGCAAUGUGUUGAAAUACAGAUAUAUGAACAAAUUCAAACCAAAAAAUUAAAAAAUUAAAAAUAAAAAUGGAGUAAGAUUGAUGGUCAAUAGAGAUUCGAAAAUAUGGAUGAAAAAGAAGCAUGAAAAUUGAGAAAGUAAAAUAUUGGUGACACUAUUUUGGAACAAGUUUCCGCCUAAUAUAGAAAAUGCUUGAUAACCAAACCACAGACACAGCUUAGUUUUCUAACUCUAUUAUAGCAUCUUUUUCUUCAUUGUUGUAAAGAAAAAAGUUUGCAGUCAGCAGAAAGAACAAGAGAUUAAUGAAAAGCUCAAAACAGCAUAAAAUGCAUAGAAAUAGUCCAACCGAGACCCAUUCAAGUUGUCCAAAAUCCAGCCAUUAUGUGGGACGAUAGGACAACAAAGUGCGUACUCAUUAUUCAUCGGUGCUAGCGAAAAAGGGCCACACUUGUGCAAUAUCUUUAGAUCAUAAAGUAUCCCCGUGCCAAGUCCACAUCUCACCAUCCCUGAUUUAAAAAAAAUUAAGAAAUUUCAGUGAAGCAUUAAAAAUGGAGACAGAAAUAAGUAGUAGUACUGAAACAUAGAGUGAUAAGUUUACCAUAUGACAUGUGCAAUAUGUUGAAUCUUGAACCAUUCUGGCCCGCUCUCUUUUCUACAUCUUUCUUUCAGAAUUGGACACCCUCUUAUCUCUAGAUAUCGGAGGCAAUGAGAUUCAUCAAACAGAGACACUCUCUCCAAAUCCUUACAAUUCUCAAUAGAUAAGUCCUUAAGAGAUGGAAGCUUUGCUAUUGACAGGACAAGAGUCUUCAUACCUCCGAAAUUAUGUAUAACUAAUUGAGUCAAGGCAGGGAAGGUGGAGAACUGAAGCUGCUCAAAGAGCGCUAUUGACUUUACAUUUUCCAACCCUCGCAGAAAAAGCACAACUAGGUUAGGGAAUGAAUCUAAUGAAGAAGGGAAUGGCCACGGAAAUUCAUCCCAGAAGGGACCUAACCGUAAGUGUGUAAGUGUGGAACUCUGAAUUUGGGCGGAUAUUCCAUCUACAAGAGAGGAGGGGACCCUCACUAGUGCGAGAUGUUUUAGACCAGCUGAUCCUUCAACUAUAUUAACACUUGCUAGAUUCGGGCAGUCAAAGAGUAGUAAUGAGGUCAAAGACAGAGAAUUAUUUUUUAAUAGCACUUUGAGUAUUGAUUCCAAGUUGGAGCAAGAAGAAGAUGAUGAUAAAUGCCCUCCUCCGUCGCUGAUUUUCCGCAGGUGUAAAGUGGUGAGUGAGCUAAGAUGCAUAUACAUAGUUUCCAGUAUCAUGUUGCUCUCCGAAUUUGUGAUACUCAAAUCUUUCAAGGACGGAAAACAGCUAUUCAGGAUCUUUCUCAACCUUGGACAAUCUGAGAUUUCCAACUUCUCAAGUUUAGGAAAUACAGUUUGGUCUUUACUGAAAAUGUCUUCCACCCAUUCUUCUAGCUUUGGCAAUUUCCGCAAAAUCAGUUUUGUCACUGACGGAUACAUUGCUGCUGUGUCUGGUUUUUGGGCCAGAUUUAGGCCUCCACAUAAAUUAUUUCCUAUAACCUUGACAUUUUCCAUCUUCUCUAUACAUAUCUUUCUCAGUUUAGGAAGGUGACCCAGUGGAGGAAAUCCUUCGCACCUGCUGCAAUCUGUCAUGGCGAUUUUCACCAUGUUGGUCAUCAUUGGGAUCCAUGACGCAAAUUUCUUUCCCAUAAAGUCUUCAAUUUCCAAUGCUUUGAGAUUUGGGUGGGGUUCCAAUCCUUCCAACACACCCUCAUCAGUGUAUUCUCCGUCUUCCCUUUCAUCUUCAUUGCUCCUCCAGUUCAACAGUAAAUGUCGAAUAUUGGACUUUUCACAAAGCUUUGCUUUACGUGCUUCUUCAAUAUUCUCCACCUCAUUAAGGCCAUAGAGUUUAAGCGUACCUCUAAGAUUUUUUAACAUUCCAAGUUGUCCAACGAGACAGUUUUGAUUUUUCUUCACAACAAAAUAAGGCAGCGUUUGCAAACAAGUUAACCUUUCAAUCCCAACAAACAUGUAUCUUGUUUUAGUAUUGCCAAUAACAAGAUGUCUCAAGUUUACAAGUUGGCAGAUGUUUUCCGGAAGCUCAUGAAGCGAUGAAAUUCUAAGAGUCUGUAAGUUGUAGAGCCUUGUAACUUGGUUUGGCAGUUUAUAGCUGAUAUUUGAAUAUGCAAUCCUAGAGACAUCUAAAUGCUUAAGGCAUUUCAAAUUCCCAAUUAAACCAGGCAGCUCCUCACAAAAUGAAUUUAAAACCAAAACUCUCAAGUACUUGAGUUUGGGUAGCACACAGUAAAAUAUAGUGGCCUCUGCAUAUAGUGCUUGUAUUGUAUCAAAGCGUAGCUUAAACAUACUUGGUUUUACAUCUUUGAAUCCUUCCAGCCUUAAAUAUGUAGCCUUUGAUCCCUUGUUAACAUCAUGACUUGGAUUUGCAGUAAUAGAAUAAUUACUUGACACCUCAAGUGCAAGAUCAUGCACAAGAUCAUGCAUCUUGCAGUUGGUAAUAUAUCCAUAUUUAUCCUUUUCCACAUCUUGUAACAAAGAAUUCCCCAACAGAAUGUCAAAGUACUCAUUUCCAGUGUCUUCCAUCAAGACAGUGCCAUCCCCCGGAAGGAAUCCUAAUGCCAUCCAUAUUUGUAUCAAUUUAUCUUUAUAAAUAUAAUGAUCCUUUGGCAUAAUGGAACAAUAUGCAAAACAUCGCUUCAAAGAAGAGCAAGGUAGAUUGUCAUAUGACAGCCUUAAGGAAGACAGUACACCUCUUGAUUUCCAUAUUUCACUGUUUUGGAUUAGCAACCACUCUUCUUCAGUCUUCUUUGAGUACAAUAAACUCCCUAGUGUUUUAAUUGCGAGAGGAAGACCGCCACAUCUUUCUACCAUUGUUUUACCCAAGGCAAUAAAUGCCUCUGUGUCUAAAACUCCUCUNCAAGGCAGGGAAGGUGGAGAACUGAAGCUGCUCAAAGAGCGCUAUUGACUUUACAUUUUCCAACCCUCGCAGAAAAAGCACAACUAGGUUAGGGAAUGAAUCUAAUGAAGAAGGGAAUGGCCACGGAAAUUCAUCCCAGAAGGGACCUAACCGUAAGUGUGUAAGUGUGGAACUCUGAAUUUGGGCGGAUAUUCCAUCUACAAGAGAGGAGGGGACCCUCACUAGUGCGAGAUGUUUUAGACCAGCUGAUCCUUCAACUAUAUUAACACUUGCUAGAUUCGGGCAGUCAAAGAGUAGUAAUGAGGUCAAAGACAGAGAAUUAUUUUUUAAUAGCACUUUGAGUAUUGAUUCCAAGUUGGAGCAAGAAGAAGAUGAUGAUAAAUGCCCUCCUCCGUCGCUGAUUUUCCGCAGGUGUAAAGUGGUGAGUGAGCUAAGAUGCAUAUACAUAGUUUCCAGUAUCAUGUUGCUCUCCGAAUUUGUGAUACUCAAAUCUUUCAAGGACGGAAAACAGCUAUUCAGGAUCUUUCUCAACCUUGGACAAUCUGAGAUUUCCAACUUCUCAAGUUUAGGAAAUACAGUUUGGUCUUUACUGAAAAUGUCUUCCACCCAUUCUUCUAGCUUUGGCAAUUUCCGCAAAAUCAGUUUUGUCACUGACGGAUACAUUGCUGCUGUGUCUGGUUUUUGGGCCAGAUUUAGGCCUCCACAUAAAUUAUUUCCUAUAACCUUGACAUUUUCCAUCUUCUCUAUACAUAUCUUUCUCAGUUUAGGAAGGUGACCCAGUGGAGGAAAUCCUUCGCACCUGCUGCAAUCUGUCAUGGCGAUUUUCACCAUGUUGGUCAUCAUUGGGAUCCAUGACGCAAAUUUCUUUCCCAUAAAGUCUUCAAUUUCCAAUGCUUUGAGAUUUGGGUGGGGUUCCAAUCCUUCCAACACACCCUCAUCAGUGUAUUCUCCGUCUUCCCUUUCAUCUUCAUUGCUCCUCCAGUUCAACAGUAAAUGUCGAAUAUUGGACUUUUCACAAAGCUUUGCUUUACGUGCUUCUUCAAUAUUCUCCACCUCAUUAAGGCCAUAGAGUUUAAGCGUACCUCUAAGAUUUUUUAACAUUCCAAGUUGUCCAACGAGACAGUUUUGAUUUUUCUUCACAACAAAAUAAGGCAGCGUUUGCAAACAAGUUAACCUUUCAAUCCCAACAAACAUGUAUCUUGUUUUAGUAUUGCCAAUAACAAGAUGUCUCAAGUUUACAAGUUGGCAGAUGUUUUCCGGAAGCUCAUGAAGCGAUGAAAUUCUAAGAGUCUGUAAGUUGUAGAGCCUUGUAACUUGGUUUGGCAGUUUAUAGCUGAUAUUUGAAUAUGCAAUCCUAGAGACAUCUAAAUGCUUAAGGCAUUUCAAAUUCCCAAUUAAACCAGGCAGCUCCUCACAAAAUGAAUUUAAAACCAAAACUCUCAAGUACUUGAGUUUGGGUAGCACACAGUAAAAUAUAGUGGCCUCUGCAUAUAGUGCUUGUAUUGUAUCAAAGCGUAGCUUAAACAUACUUGGUUUUACAUCUUUGAAUCCUUCCAGCCUUAAAUAUGUAGCCUUUGAUCCCUUGUUAACAUCAUGACUUGGAUUUGCAGUAAUAGAAUAAUUACUUGACACCUCAAGUGCAAGAUCAUGCACAAGAUCAUGCAUCUUGCAGUUGGUAAUAUAUCCAUAUUUAUCCUUUUCCACAUCUUGUAACAAAGAAUUCCCCAACAGAAUGUCAAAGUACUCAUUUCCAGUGUCUUCCAUCAAGACAGUGCCAUCCCCCGGAAGGAAUCCUAAUGCCAUCCAUAUUUGUAUCAAUUUAUCUUUAUAAAUAUAAUGAUCCUUUGGCAUAAUGGAACAAUAUGCAAAACAUCGCUUCAAAGAAGAGCAAGGUAGAUUGUCAUAUGACAGCCUUAAGGAAGACAGUACACCUCUUGAUUUCCAUAUUUCACUGUUUUGGAUUAGCAACCACUCUUCUUCAGUCUUCUUUGAGUACAAUAAACUCCCUAGUGUUUUAAUUGCGAGAGGAAGACCGCCACAUCUUUCUACCAUUGUUUUACCCAAGGCAAUAAAUGCCUCUGUGUCUAAAACUCCUCUAUUCAAAAAUGCUCUUUGCUUAAACAAUUCCCAACUAUCUUCCUCUGUUAGUUUUUUCACCAGAUAAGGAUCAGAACACUGCGUAGCAUCAACCACUUCCUGCUUCCGAGUGGUGACAAAAAUUUUGCUGCCUCUCGCACCCCCAACUCCAAGCAAAGAAUUCCUCAACUUGUCCCACUCUUCUGGAUUCUCAUUCCAAACAUCAUCUAGCACAAGUAAAAACUUUUCGCCCUUCAGCUUUUUUUGAAGAUUUUUGAUCAGACCUUCUGGAUUAUCCAACACAGAAGGGCUUGAAGUGAGUGACACCACCAUUUGAUUUAAAAUCUUAAUGAAAUCAAAAUCAUCUGAUACAGUGACCCACAUCCUCUUGGGAAACAUGUUGAUCACAGCAUCUCUAUUGUAAACUAUGCGGGCAAGAGUUGUUUUGCCUUGACCACCCAUCCCGAGUAUUGCAUUCACCUGUAAACCCUCAUCAUUUUGGUUGCACAACAUGUUAACUAGAAAUGAUAUAUCAUCAUCUCUUCCGACAAUCAGCGACUCGUCUUCAAAGGGUUGGGUGUAGCGUAUCUCUCUGUGUUGUACAGUAGAUCUCAAAUGCUCUACUGGCUUAAGUCCAAUAACAGUAGCCCAUUUACAGAUCUUGUCAAAGGAAGUAUUAAUAUUCUUGAUCUUAUGAGCCACUUUGAAACGAUAUAAUAAGGAGUUUUUAGAAGGAGUGAAGAAGUCUUUUACCCUGUGACGAUUCUCAACUUUUCUUCGAGAAACUUCAUACUCGAGUUCAUCCAUAAAAGCUUCAGCCACCUGAGCCACUUCUUCAAGUUUGUUGAACCAAAUUUUGGCACUAGACAUGAUUAAAUUCUUGUUUUGAGCGUCAUGCAAGAGAGCACCGAACGAUUCAAAUCUCUGACGCAGUGUCUUCAAAUCUUCGUCAAGUUUCCAGAUCUGAAUCACUUCAUCAGUUGCAAGUGAAAUUAGCUUUCGGACCAGUCCAGCAGAAAGAUCAUCUACAAUUGCUUCAGCCAUUGCUCUCAAUCUUUCUUGUUUCUUCAGCGAGAUGUGCAAGUGGUGAUGGUUGUAAGGACAAUUGCUUGAGAUGGUUGUAAGAUCAUCUUAUUGAUUGCUCCGUCCGGUUUAUAUAUUUGCAGAAUUGCAGAUUUACGGGCAUUGUAAAAGCAGCCCGCCGUUUUCCGGGGUUAUAAAUAAAAAACGUACGCUUUGCCUAAAGUGUUUUAAAUUUCGAUUUUAUAAAUGAUAAUAUGACAAGUUCAAAUUUAAUUCCCGAUUUUAUAAGUGACACAAGUUGAAACUUAAUUUUGUUUGUGACUUAUUUUAUUUUAGAAAAUUUGAUUUUACAAAUAUAUAAAUAAUCAUUCUAAAAUAUAAUUUAUCAGAUUUUAUUAUUAUAUCAAUAAUUUUAUACUCGAUAAGUUGUUGAAUCAAAAUAUUUAUAAAAAAUAAAUAACUUAAAAGUUAUUUUGCACUUAUAUAAAUGAUAUACCUUAAUAAGUAACUAGCUUUAUAGCCCGUGCGUGGCACGGGCAUGCUCUAAACAUUUCUAUAUUUAAGUUUAUGCGGUGUUUUUGUAUGUUUUGAAAAUGUAAUGCAUAAACAGGCAAGAAAACAUCUAUCAAAGUGGAUUAAAAAAGAUCACCACAAACCAGUUACAUGGAUGAUGCCUCCGAAAGAAAAUAAGCGAAGAACUGAUGAUAUUAUAUAUGUAACACCCCAGUCCCACAUCGAGAAGAGUGAGAAUAUUUGUUCAGUUUAUAAGCAUAAAUAUUACUACUAAUUGCACCAACAAAUCAUGAUCUUUUGUGGGCCUGUGGUGGGCUUGUAAAUUACCCAAGUUGUUGUAGUUGGGCCAGUUUAUUUCGGCUUAUUUUCGGAUUCAGAUUCGGAUUUCGGGACUUGACCUGAUUUUUGAAAAAAACUCGGGAUUUGACCCGGUUGUCACAUAUGGUAUUAGAGCGAGGUUCUCGAAAGCUUGAUUCGUCAAGUUGCCGGAGGUGGGGACACAAAGGCUGGUGGUAUUAUCCUGCAAUGGACAGAGAUCCGAAGGCGGGGACACGAAACCAGCCAGUAUUAUCCCACAAUGGCUAGAGAGGUUCGAUCUGGGCCUAUGGGCUAUCCGUUUCGGCCUGACGAGGACGUCAGGAAUUUAAGUGGGGGAGUUUGUUACACCCCAGUCCCACAUCGAGAAGAGUGGGAAUAUUUGUUCAGUUUAUAAACAUAAGUAUAACUACUAAUUGCACCAACAAAUCAUGAUCUUUUGUGGGCCUGUGGUGGGCUUGUGAAUUACCCAAGUUGUUGCAGUUGAGCUAGUUUAUUUCGGCUUAUUUUCGGAUACGGAUUUCGGGACUUGACCAGAUUUUCGAAAAAGACUCGGGAUUUGACCCGGUUGUCACAAUAUACUAUACUAUGAAAUAAAUUUAUUGACAAUUAAACUCCAGCUACACUAAAUCAAAUCAGCAUGAUCAGAACCCUUAACAUUGAUGCAUAUGAAAAUUCAUGGAACAGCAACCCAUUAUUGUAAUUAUGUGUGCAUAGUCUUUUUGACAAAAUAACUUGUUUAAUCUAUUAAUACAUAUGAUAACUACUUUAUAUAAAUUCUUUACUAAUCAUAACAUAUAACUACAGUUGCUUAACUACAUCAUAUCAAUUCUUUACUAACCAUAAAAUAUAACUCGAAAUGCCUUUAACUAUUAUAUAUUGGUUCAUUCUUUGGUUUCAGUGCAUUAACUUAAUGAAUUAGAUAAAUUCUUUAGUAAUCAUAACAUAUCACUUUUUGCCUAACUACAUUAGAUCAAUUGUUUACUAAUCAUAAAUAUAAUUCGAGUUGACUUAAUCGUAACUAAAUCAAAUUAGCAUGAUUAGAACUUUUAACAUUCAUGCAUGAAACCCUUAACAUUCAUGCAUAUGCAAAUUCAUAAAACAAUUAGUCAUUAUUGUAAUAUUAUGUGUGCAUAGUCUUUUUGACAAGAUACAGUAACUUAAUCUAUUAAAGAAUACGAUAACUACAUUAGAUAAAUUCUUUACUAAUCAUAACACAUAACUCGAGUUGUUUAACUCAUUAGAUCAAUUCUUUAUAAAUCAUAACAUAUAACUCGAGUUGUCUUUAACUACAGUAUAUUGGUUCACUCUUUGUUCUGAGUGCAUUAGUUUGAUGAAUUAUAUAAAUCUAAUUAAUCAUAACAUAUAACUCGAGUUGCCUAAAAUCAAUUCUUUACUAAUCAUAACCUACAACUUGAGUUGCCUCACCGUAUAUUGGUUCACUCUUUGCUUUGAGUGCACUAACUUGGUGAAUUCCUCGCAAAGAAUAUUUUUAUUUUGAAUAUGUAGUUAUUCGUAAUUAAUAAUGUAUAAUGAUUGAUGAAAUGAAUGAUAUUUUUGAGUAUUUUACAAAUAUUCUAAAGACACAUUCAUUCAAAAGUAUUAUUUUAUAAUAAUGUAUUAGAUAUUAUUAUUAUUAAAUAUUAUUCAUGUAUUUAUUAGUAAUUAUCAAUGUAUAAUAAUUGAUAAAAUGAUCUAAUGAUAACUGAAUUACUAUUGUUAGUAUUUGUUAGAUAUUAUUAAGGAGGAUAUAAUAAUUAGAUAUAAUUAAUAACAUAUAUUAAAUAUGUUGUUAUUAGUAGUUAAUCAUGUAUAAUGAUUGAUGAGAUGAUCUGAUAAUAAUUAAAUUACUCUCUCUGUUUUUUUUAUUCGACGCUUUAACUUUGAGCACACACUUUUAUGUUCUUUGACCAGAUAGUUAGAAAUAUUAUUUUUUUAAAUUUUCUUUCUCUGAAUAAAAAUAUAUAACUAAAACUUUUAUUCACCAAAAAAAUAAAUUAAAAAUAAUAACUUUUACUAUCCGGUCAACUCGUCUAAAGAAGUGUGCCUAAAGUCAACACGUCAAAUAGAAAAACCAGAGGGAUCAUUAGUAUUUGCUACAUACUCCCCCCGUCCCCCCCGACGGUAUAUACAUUGAGGGACGCGGCCGAACUUUAAUGCUCCUGCAAAGUGUAGUUGUGUAAAUUUUUUUUAUAAAUUUUCUUUUUCUGAAUUAAAAUUUGGAAUAUAAUUAAUAACAUAUAUUAAAUAUGUAGUAUAGCAGUUAAUAAUGUAUAAUGAUUGAUGAGAUGAUCUAAUGAUAAAAAAAUUACUCCCUCUGUUUUUUUAUUUGACGCUUUGACUUUGGGCACACUUUUAAGUGCUUUGACCCGGUAGUUAGAAAUAUUUUUUUUAAGUUUCUUUCUUUGAAUAAAAAUAUAUAACUAAAACUUUUAGGGUCGCGCUCAAGAGAGAACCAGUCCUUAAAAUAGAACCAUAGAACCACUGAGGUUCUGCUGCGGAACCCUAAAUUUUAAAUAGAUUUUUAGUAUCUAAAUCCAAAUACAUAUUUUUUUCAUAUUUUUUCAUCGUUGUGUGUGUUCUGAAAUAAUUUUAAAAUACAAUACAUAGAUAUUGACAUUUUUUGCAUGUGAAGUUCGGCUGCAGAACCCUAACUAAUACUUAAGUUCUGCUCCAGAACCCUACCUAAUACUACAAAUAAGGUAAGGGUUCUAUGAGUUCUCUAUCUAAUGGUUCUCUCUUGAACAUGACCCAAAACUUUUAUUCACAAAAAAAUAACUUAAAAAUAAUAAUUUUCACUACCCGGUCAAUCAUCUAAAGAAAAGUAAAAAAAAACAAACAGAGUGAUUAUUAGUAUUUGCGAGAUACUCCAUCCGUCCCCCUAGAUAGUACACACUGAGGGACGCGGACGCGUAGUUGCGUAAUUUUAUUGAGGAAAAAAAUCCUAAAAAAUAAGUUACGAAACUAUAUUUAAUAAGAACAUUGAAAUGUGUGUCAAGCAGUUGAAAAUAAACGUAUAGAAUUAAAUGGGACACUGGGUGUAUUAAUUAAGACAUAGUAAUUAGAUAUAAUCAAUGACAGAUAUUAGAUAUGUAGUUAUUAGUAAUUAAUAAUGUGUAAUAAAUUAAAUGAAAUAAUUAUUAGUGUAGAUAUUAAUGAGGAUAUUAAUGAUUAAAUUGGCUCACCAAAACCCAUGUUGUAGUAUUAUAUAUAUAAUUAGCACUGUAGCCCGUGCGAGGCACGGGCAUGUUCUCAUAUGCGUGAUGAAUAUUGUUAUUCUUGUUAUUGUUCGACAGUGUCAAAAAUAAAGAGUUUAAAUUUUAGAUCCUUGUUAUUGCAGUGUAGUGUAAACAUAUCUUUUAUUAUUAGAGUGCGAUAAUUGUUAGUUGUCCUUAAAAUAAUGUAAGCAAAGUGUCACAAUGAUAUUCCUGCAUCAGUGAAGUAUAACGUUGAUAUUCAAUUGGUUGUAGUGUAUCUUCCUCAUUCACCUUCAUUAUAUUAUAAUUUUUUUAAAUUUUUUUUGACUAUUUCGACCAUAAUUCACCUAAGAAUUUAAUUAAACUUAUAAUAUAUUGUCUCACUAUCUGUGGAAUAUCACACUAAUACUCCUCGACACAUGAAGUAUCACCCUGAUAGGUAACUGGUUGUGACGUAUCAUCAUGAUAAUUCUCUUAUAAUAAAAAAUUUGUAGAUAUUUAGGGUCCUCCUUAGCAAAGUAACACCUUUAUAUUCAACUGGUUGUGGCAUAUCAUCCUGAUAAUACUCUGAUAUUAGAGUAUGUAGUGGGUAGUUAAGGCCCCUUCUAAUUGAAUAUUUAUAUUUUGAUUAAAUAUAGUUGAAAAUUGAUUAUUUCAACCGGAAAUUUGCCAAAAACUUUAACCAAGUUUAUAAAUAUGUUGCUCCACUCAUAGUGGGAAAUACACUGAUACUCCUCUACCUGUGGAGUAUCACCUGAUACUUAACAGGUUACGAUAUAUUAUCAUGUUAAUCCUCUUACAAUCAAAGCUUUUGUCGAUAUUUAGAACAUUCUUUACUGAAUAUACUUGUUUUGGUUAAAUAUUGUUGAGUCACGGGCAUGUUGGGUAUUUAGGGCCUGAACUUACUGAAUAUUCAUAUUUUGGUUAAAUAUUGUUGAAAAUUGGGUAGUUUGGCUGGGCAUUUACAGAAGAAUUAAAUUAAGGUUUUUUUAUAAAUAUAUAAGUUUCACUCCGAGUGGAAUAUCACACUGAUACUCCUCUAUCAUCGGAGUAUCAUCCCAAUACUCAAUUAAUUAGACGUAUCACCAUGAUAAUACUCUUACAGUCAAAUAUUUUGCGCAUAUUUAGGACUUCUUUACUUAAUAUUCAUAAUUUAGUUAAAUAUUGUUGAGACACGGUCACACGGGAAUGUUCUCAUACGCGUGAUGGAUGUUGAUAUCUUGACGUUGUCCAAGUGUUAGGUUUGAAUUCUUGUUAUUGCAAGGUGAUGCAUUAACCAUUAUUAUGAAUUAGAUAUAGUCGUCCUUAUAAUAAUGCGAGUAAGGCAUCACACUGAUAUUCUUUUAUAAGUGGAAUAUCAUAUUGAUAUUUGGCUCGCUGUCCGUAUCAACACGAUAAUACUCUUGCAAUCAAAUAUUUUGCGAAUAUUUAGGACUUCUCUACUAAUUAUUCAUAAUUUGGUUAAAUAUUGUUGAGACACGGUCACACGGGAAUGUUCUCAUGCGCGUGCAUGUUGUUAUCUUGAUGUUGUCCAAGUGUUAGGUUUGAGAUCUUGUUAUUGCAGGGUGAUGCAUUAACCACUAAUAUGAAUUAGAUAUAGUUGUCCUUAUAAUAAUGCGAGCAAGGUAUCACACUGAUAUUCUUUUUCAAGUGGAGUAUCAUCAUAUUGAUAUUUAACUGGCUGUCGUGUAUAUGCUGCAAAACUCCGAAUGAAAUAUCACAUGAUAUUCAAUUGAUUGUGACGUAUCCUCAUAAUAAUCUUUUUACGGUAAAAUAUUUUAAAGGUAUUUAGGGCCCACAAAUAAUUUUAAUAAGCAUUCAUCCAAGAACUUAAUUAACGUAUUAUUGUUAAAAAUUAUGCAAAAUUAGAUUUUUUAACUUUAAAUUAGUUAGUGUGAUACAUGCUUUGACGAUGUAAUUGAUUACCUACCCAUUAAUAAUUAACAUAUUAUUUACAAAUUUAAUUAUGAAUAAAUUAAUAUGUUAGAUAUAAUCACACAUAUUAAUUAUAAAUAUUAAUUUAAUGUAUUAAUAAAGAAGGUAAACACAUCAAUUACAUGUCUAAUAAUGAAUUUAUUAAAGUCUUAGAUAUAAUUACAUGUAUUAAUUACAAGUUAUUAAUUAUAUGUAUCAAUGGAAGAGAUAUUAGUUGCAAGUGUAUUAAUGAAAGAGAGGGUUAAAAGAGUAAUUUACAUGGUGAAUAAAAUGUGGCAUGUUGGUCUAUUAUAUAUAUAAAUAGAUAGAUAGAUAAGCAUUUUUUUUAAAAUUAAAUCAAACGGUCCAAAAAUUUGAUUUGUUCUUAAAUAGUUUGAUUUCCGCACUUCACUGUUUGAGAUAUCAACAACCAUUUUUCUCUCACUUUUUUGAGUAAACUAAAUAUUCAUUUAUUUUAUCGGAGACCGAUCGUAUACUGGAUUUUUUAUAGGUUAGGCUGAUCCGAAUCCGUUAGAGUUGUAAAGUUGUAGAGAUGUAAUCUGGCAAUUUAUAACUCUUGCAUCCGAGAGAAUUUGAGAUAUCGAGAUGUUUAAUGAACUUGACAACUCAUUACAAAAUGACUUAAGAACGAGCACUCUCAGGGUCGUUUGGUUGGAGAGGAGGUAUGAGGUUGGAAUGAGGAAUCGGGUUAUCAGGUGUUUGGUUGAGUGGUGGAAUGAAUAUGGUUGAAUUAUAAUAUUUAUGAGUUAUUAACUGUAAUUAAUUUAAAAUAUCAUGAAAUUAAUAUUUGUAUACAUUUUUAAGUCAUUAAUUUCAUUUUGUGUUAAAAAUUUACAAGAAAUAAUAUAAAUAAUAAUGAAAAUAAAAGAAAAAAAAUUGAUUCCUGAAACGCAUAUUUCAUACCCACCUCCCCCUUGUUAUGAAAUUCUCAUACCUUGUGGGUUUGAGGAAUGAGUUUGAUGAAAUAAAAUUCUCAACCAGAUAUGGGUUUGGAAUGAACAAAACUCAUACCUGAUAUCACGGAAGCCUGAACCAAACGACCCCUCAAGUGUUUGAGGUUGGGUAAGAGGACACUGAAAAUACUAGCCUGUGAGUAUAGUGAUUGUACUGUAUAAAAGUAGGCCUUGUAGAUAUUUGGUUUUAAAUCCUCAAACCCCUCCAGCCUUACAUGAAUUGCCUGAGAAAGCUGGUUAGAAUCCUGACUUGGUGUUACGGUUUGGGAGUGAUUAGUUGACACAUCUACAGCAAGAUCAUGCAUUUUGCAACAGGUGAUAUUGCCAUAUUCAUCCGUUUCCACGUCUUGUAACAAAGAAUUCGACAACAAAAUGUUGAAGUAUUCACUGCCUACGUCCUCCAUCAGCAAAUUGGUAUCUCCAGGAGACAAAAGGAAUCCUAAUGCCAUACAUAUAUGUACCAUUUCAUCUUUAUAUAUAAGAGAAUCCUUGGAAAGAACAGAAAAAUAUGCAAAACAUCUUUUCAAAGAUGAAUAUGGUAAAUUGUCAUAUGACAACCUCAAGGAUGAUAAUACCCCUUUUGAUUUCCAUACUUCACUGUUUAAGAUCAACAGCCACUCUUCCUCCGACUUCUUUGAGUACAAUAAACCCCCUAAUGUUUUUAUUGCCAGAGGCAGGCCGCCACACCUUUCCACCAUUCUUCUUCCCAAGUCUACAAAUUCCCUGGUCUCUAAAACUCCUCCAUGUGUAAAUGCUCUUUGCUUGAAUAGUGCCCAACUAUAUUCUUCUGAAAGUUUUUCGACCCUAUAACAAACAGAACAUUGCAUGGCAUCGAUGACUUCCUGGUUACGCGUGGUAACUAGAAUGCUGCUUCCUUUCGCACAACCAACCCCAAGCAAAGAAUUCAUCAAGCUAUCCCACUUAUCUGCUUUCUCAUUCCAUACAUCAUCCAGUACAAGUAAAACCUUUACCCCCUUUAGAUGUUUUUGAAGAUUUUUUUAUCACUGCUUCAGUGUUAUCCAACACUGAAGUGGUUGAAGUAAGCGAUCCUACCAUCUGAUUCAAAAUCUUCAUGAAAUCAAAAUCAUCUGAUAUAGUAACCCAUAUCCUUCUUGAAAAUAUAUUGAUCACAACGUCUUUAUUGUAGACCACACGAGCAAGAGUUGUCUUACCUUGACCCCCCAUCCCUGCUACAGCAACGACCAGUAAAUCCUCAUCAUGAAUUUUGGACAAGACAUGAACUAAAUUUGAUACAUCUUCAUCUCUUCCGACUACUUGUGUCUCGACUUCAAAGGGCGCAGUGUGACGGAUCUCUCUCACUUGUACAGUUGCACUCAAUUGUGCUAUGGGCUGCAGUCCAAGAUCUGCCGCCCAUUUAAAAAUCUUGUCAAAGGAUUUAUGAAUAGUCUUGAUCUUAUUAGCCGCAGAUCUUGUUAUUGCAGGGUGAUGCAUUAACCACUAAUAUGAAUUAGAUAUAGUUGUCCUUAUAAUAAUGCGAGCAAGGUAUCACACUGAUAUUCUUUUUCAAGUGGAGUAUCAUCAUAUUGAUAUUUAACUGGCUGUCGUGUAUAUGCUGCAAAACUCCGAAUGAAAUAUCACAUGAUAUUCAAUUGAUUGUGACGUAUCCUCAUAAUAAUCUUUUUACGGUAAAAUAUUUUAAAGGUAUUUAGGGCCCACAAAUAAUUUUAAUAAGCAUUCAUCCAAGAACUUAAUUAACGUAUUAUUGUUAAAAAUUAUGCAAAAUUAGAUUUUUUAACUUUAAAUUAGUUAGUGUGAUACAUGCUUUGACGAUGUAAUUGAUUACCUACCCAUUAAUAAUUAACAUAUUAUUUACAAAUUUAAUUAUGAAUAAAUUAAUAUGUUAGAUAUAAUCACACAUAUUAAUUAUAAAUAUUAAUUUAAUGUAUUAAUAAAGAAGGUAAACACAUCAAUUACAUGUCUAAUAAUGAAUUUAUUAAAGUCUUAGAUAUAAUUACAUGUAUUAAUUACAAGUUAUUAAUUAUAUGUAUCAAUGGAAGAGAUAUUAGUUGCAAGUGUAUUAAUGAAAGAGAGGGUUAAAAGAGUAAUUUACAUGGUGAAUAAAAUGUGGCAUGUUGGUCUAUUAUAUAUAUAAAUAGAUAGAUAGAUAAGCAUUUUUUUUAAAAUUAAAUCAAACGGUCCAAAAAUUUGAUUUGUUCUUAAAUAGUUUGAUUUCCGCACUUCACUGUUUGAGAUAUCAACAACCAUUUUUCUCUCACUUUUUUGAGUAAACUAAAUAUUCAUUUAUUUUAUCGGAGACCGAUCGUAUACUGGAUUUUUUAUAGGUUAGGCUGAUCCGAAUCCGUUAGAGUUGUAAAGUUGUAGAGAUGUAAUCUGGCAAUUUAUAACUCUUGCAUCCGAGAGAAUUUGAGAUAUCGAGAUGUUUAAUGAACUUGACAACUCAUUACAAAAUGACUUAAGAACGAGCACUCUCAGGGUCGUUUGGUUGGAGAGGAGGUAUGAGGUUGGAAUGAGGAAUCGGGUUAUCAGGUGUUUGGUUGAGUGGUGGAAUGAAUAUGGUUGAAUUAUAAUAUUUAUGAGUUAUUAACUGUAAUUAAUUUAAAAUAUCAUGAAAUUAAUAUUUGUAUACAUUUUUAAGUCAUUAAUUUCAUUUUGUGUUAAAAAUUUACAAGAAAUAAUAUAAAUAAUAAUGAAAAUAAAAGAAAAAAAAUUGAUUCCUGAAACGCAUAUUUCAUACCCACCUCCCCCUUGUUAUGAAAUUCUCAUACCUUGUGGGUUUGAGGAAUGAGUUUGAUGAAAUAAAAUUCUCAACCAGAUAUGGGUUUGGAAUGAACAAAACUCAUACCUGAUAUCACGGAAGCCUGAACCAAACGACCCCUCAAGUGUUUGAGGUUGGGUAAGAGGACACUGAAAAUACUAGCCUGUGAGUAUAGUGAUUGUACUGUAUAAAAGUAGGCCUUGUAGAUAUUUGGUUUUAAAUCCUCAAACCCCUCCAGCCUUACAUGAAUUGCCUGAGAAAGCUGGUUAGAAUCCUGACUUGGUGUUACGGUUUGGGAGUGAUUAGUUGACACAUCUACAGCAAGAUCAUGCAUUUUGCAACAGGUGAUAUUGCCAUAUUCAUCCGUUUCCACGUCUUGUAACAAAGAAUUCGACAACAAAAUGUUGAAGUAUUCACUGCCUACGUCCUCCAUCAGCAAAUUGGUAUCUCCAGGAGACAAAAGGAAUCCUAAUGCCAUACAUAUAUGUACCAUUUCAUCUUUAUAUAUAAGAGAAUCCUUGGAAAGAACAGAAAAAUAUGCAAAACAUCUUUUCAAAGAUGAAUAUGGUAAAUUGUCAUAUGACAACCUCAAGGAUGAUAAUACCCCUUUUGAUUUCCAUACUUCACUGUUUAAGAUCAACAGCCACUCUUCCUCCGACUUCUUUGAGUACAAUAAACCCCCUAAUGUUUUUAUUGCCAGAGGCAGGCCGCCACACCUUUCCACCAUUCUUCUUCCCAAGUCUACAAAUUCCCUGGUCUCUAAAACUCCUCCAUGUGUAAAUGCUCUUUGCUUGAAUAGUGCCCAACUAUAUUCUUCUGAAAGUUUUUCGACCCUAUAACAAACAGAACAUUGCAUGGCAUCGAUGACUUCCUGGUUACGCGUGGUAACUAGAAUGCUGCUUCCUUUCGCACAACCAACCCCAAGCAAAGAAUUCAUCAAGCUAUCCCACUUAUCUGCUUUCUCAUUCCAUACAUCAUCCAGUACAAGUAAAACCUUUACCCCCUUUAGAUGUUUUUGAAGAUUUUUUUAUCACUGCUUCAGUGUUAUCCAACACUGAAGUGGUUGAAGUAAGCGAUCCUACCAUCUGAUUCAAAAUCUUCAUGAAAUCAAAAUCAUCUGAUAUAGUAACCCAUAUCCUUCUUGAAAAUAUAUUGAUCACAACGUCUUUAUUGUAGACCACACGAGCAAGAGUUGUCUUACCUUGACCCCCCAUCCCUGCUACAGCAACGACCAGUAAAUCCUCAUCAUGAAUUUUGGACAAGACAUGAACUAAAUUUGAUACAUCUUCAUCUCUUCCGACUACUUGUGUCUCGACUUCAAAGGGCGCAGUGUGACGGAUCUCUCUCACUUGUACAGUUGCACUCAAUUGUGCUAUGGGCUGCAGUCCAAGAUCUGCCGCCCAUUUAAAAAUCUUGUCAAAGGAUUUAUGAAUAGUCUUGAUCUUAUUAGCCGCCUUAAAACGAUUUAAUAUGUUGUUUUUAGAAGGAACAAAGAAGUCCCUUACCCUGUGAUGACUUUCCACCUUUUGUCGAGUAACUUCAUAAGCAAGUUGAUCCAUAAAAACAUCAGCGACAUGUGCCACAGCUUUGAGUUUGCUGAACCAGGUUUGGACAGAAAACAUAUCUAGUUUCUUGGUACAAGUAUCGGACAGGAGAGCAAAGCUGAGAGAAAACCAUCCAGCUUUGUGGAUGGUGACUUGAAUAGAAAUUUAUCAAGUGAGUAAAGCUGAGGGGAAAAGAAAGCCAAUUCAGCUAAAAGUCAAUAGCCUCCUAGAAGAUGGCAUCUUUAUUUUUUACAUGUCAGGUGAACCCUGGUUGGGAUCAUGAUUGACUAAAUUUAUAUUUAAAUUCAUUUAUGUUAUCGAAUUCAAAUUAGAUUAAUACUGAUUACCGGCCGAUCCGAAUCGGUCGGAGACGGGGAUCUCGAACUCCACUCUGUAUGAUUUAUUUUAUUUUAAAGAAAAUUGAUUUGUUACAAAGUUAUAAAAGACCAUUUAUCAUUUACAAUUGAACAAAAUUUAAACCAAAAAAUAUUUAAAAAGAAAAAAAUAAAUGUAAAUCGACGGUCAAUAUUGAUUUUGGAGCAAGUCUAUCGUCCUAAUAUAAAAAAAUGCUUGAUACCGAGACGACAAAAAACUUUGUCUCUCUUAUUUUUAUCUUUGUCGAAAAAGUACUUACUACAUUAUUACAUCUUUGAAGAAAGCAUUUGUAUCAGAAGUAUUCUUGACAUUUUCCAAUUCUAUUGUAGCAUCAUCUUGUUCUUUGUUGUAAACAAAAAAGUUUGCAGCCAGAAGAAAAAACAAGAGGUUAAUAAAGCUCAAAACAGCAUAAAAUGCGUAGAAAUAGUCCAAGUGAGACACAUUCAAGUUGUCCAAAAUCCAGCCCUUGUGACCAUCCCUCUUAGUGAAAUCAGACACAACUGUUAGAAUAAAACUGCUUAGAAAAUUCCCAAUACUCAAGCUAGUUGUAUAAUAGGCUGUGCCGAAGCUUUUCAUACUUUUUGGAGCUUGAUCAUAGAAGAAUUCAAGUCUCCCCACUUCCCAAAAUGUGUCAGCAACCCCCAUCAGAGCAUACUGAGGAAGUAAUAUGAAAAUGCUGAGCGGAACAAUUUGAUUUUUCUUUGUAAUGCCAUGAUCUUUAAUGACGUUUAAUCGCUUCCUUUCACAAACUGAAGCAAUGAUCAUGAUGAUGACAUGCAUUACUAGGCCUAUUCCCAUUCUUUGCAGCAUUGGGAUCCCUCUUGGAUUUUUGGUGUAGCUUCGAAGUGUGGGAACCAGGAAUUUAUCAUAGAUCACAACAGUGAUCAACAUAAAGAUUGUUAUGAAUGCUACAAGAGAUGCCGGGGGAAUGCUGAAAUGAGGACCUAUGCUUCUAACAAGAGUGGUGCCUUGCUUGAUGAAGAGUGUAUGUCCUUGAGCUAUCAGUGUGCUAGGUAAGAAUGAUACUAAUAAGAUUGGCGCCAUUUUUACCAUUUGUUUUGUUUCUUCAACUUCAGUCACUGUGCAUUGCAUCCAAUGAGGGCUCAUUCCAUCCACAACAGCCGCUUUAUCUAGUAUUCUGUGUAGAAGAAAAUGAUAUGUAAAAGUCAUACUCAGUGCACAAGACACCCGUAUCAAUAAGUAAAAAUGGAAACAGAGGACCAUAAACCUCUUCUUGGAGGGAUAAGAAAUCAGACCUCAAUAAAGGAGAGUGCUCAAUUCUAUACUUUCCAGGUUUGGAAUAUUCAUCCAAAUUCAACUCAUGUAGUUCUUUUGGAUCAUCCGGGACAACCAACUUCCAUUUUCUAAUAGUGGCUAUAAGAACUCUAGCCAUCUUGGUCAAUGGGCUCCCAGAUGCAGGUUGGUGCCUAUAAUAAGGCGAGCCUGCUAGAAAGACCAAUAUUGAUAAAAAGAGUCCGAUUGUUGGAAGACCAUAUCCAAGUCCCCAGCCUGCAUGAUCUUGUAUGUAGACCAGGAAGGUGCUGGCAAAAAGUGUGCCAAAGAAGAUACUAAAGACCCACCAAUUAAAGAAUGAUAUCUUCUGGGUUUUCUCUGUUGGCUCAAAUUCAUCAAACUGAUCUGCACCCAUUGUUGAGAUGUUGGGCUUUGUCCCUCCAGUUCCGAGUGCAAUUAUGUACAAUGCACAGUAGAAAAUACCCACUUGAAAAGGUGAAGCUUGCUUGUUACAGUCCACGUCUGUUAUACUGUCACCGCAUGAUGGUGGCCGGAGAGAUUUUAAUGAAACUACUAGUGUCAGCAAGGACAUGCCCUGUUGCACAACAAAUAUCUGAGCCCAAGCAAAGCAAUCAAAACAUAUAGUCAAGAUCACAGAUAUAUGUGAAACUCGCGAACAAUUUUAUGUUUUCAUACCCCAAGAUAGAUGAAGGCUGAAACGAUGAAAGUCCAGUAACGGCCAAGAUGAGCAUCCGCGAUGUAGGCACCUAGAAUGGGUGUCAGCCAGACAGUGCCAACCCAGUUGGUGACAUUGUUUGAAGACUUCACGGUGCCUUCAUGUAAUUUUCUUGUGAGAUACAGCACUAGAUUUGUUGAUAUUCCAUAAAAUGCCAUCCUCUCAAAUGCUUCAUACCCUUCAAAAUCAUUCAUUAUACGGAAUAAAUUAGAAAAUCAAACCAAAACUUAUUUUCUUCACCUUAAUACAAAAUAGUACAUGAGUUGAAUGUGGUAAAUGUUCCAUUGGAUGAUAUCAGAAUUAUCAAAAGAAGCAAUAGAAUCUUGUUGACAUACCUACAAUGAAGGAGGUUGCUCUCCAUCUCCCUGUGUUUGAUCUUAACACAGGAUUACCCUUGAGGUCAACUGUUCCAUCUUCGGUGUACUCAUCAUCCCCUCUCGUCUUGCCAUUUUCUUCGACUACUCUUUCCAUUGUCAUUGUCAUCUCCCUGUGUUUGAUCUGAACACAGUUCAACGUGCAGCUCGAGUUUAUACUAGACAACCUCUGUCUACCUGCAUAUACAGUUAGCUACAAAUGAAAUGGUGGAUAAUAAUUAAAUCACUAACAGACUAAGACUGAAGUCAGUUUUUAUAUCUGAAAUUCAACCCUUUUCUUAUCUAAAAUAUUCAUGCUGGUAAAAGAACAAAUACAAGUGUCCAAGUAAAUGAAUAUAGACGCCACUUCUUAGUUUUUUCUAGUAAUAUACAAAUGCAGCUGCUAAUAUUUUAGUUAGCAUCAAAAUGUUCAAGUAUGAAGAAUAUCUGGGGCAAGACGGCUACCAACGUUAAUUUGCCGACUGAUCCCCGCAUAAGUGACAAAUAUUCAUGUCUAUAUAGGUAACAAUUUGAAAGCUUAGUAGCCGACCUCAUCAUAGGAUCAGUAAGUACAUCGCUCACUUGUCUUCUUCUUCUUCUCUCUUUUUUUUUUGCCGACUUGUUAAUGGAACUUAUCAGUUAUUAGUACAUCGCUCACUUAUUUAUCUUUUUUCGCUAAGCAGCUCAAUAUUUAUUGAACUUCUAUUUAUCUUUUUUCGCUAAGCAGCUCAAUAUUUAUUUUACCUCUAUUCUGCUUCCUCUCCGUUCACUCAUUAAGCCUUAAAGUAAUUUGUGAAACAACUACCACCGAUAAACUAAUACUCCCUCCGUCCCAAUUCUUUUGUCCUGUUUGACGUUUUGUGGACAAAUAGACUCAAUUUUGACUGAAAUUUACAUAUAUUAAAUAAUUGAAAAAAAUUAUAAAAAAUAUAUUAUUAGAAUCUACAUUUAUUCUACUUUAAGAUGUAUUUUUCAAUUACUAGAAAUCAUAUAAGGAUAAUUAUUCAUUAACGAUCAAAGUUGGGUCAAUUUGACCACAAAAAAUCAAACAAGACAAAAGAAGUUGGUAGGACGGAUUUUGUAGAGUUUGUUUUUGUCAUUAUAGUGUUACCACCCGUAUUUUCUUACAAUUUUGUAAAUGACAGGUUUUUGAAUUAAAUCUUGUAUUAGUAUGAAUUUGAUUAAUAAUAUUAAUAUGAACUCUUUAUUUAUUUGAAUUCUAAAACAUGACAAAUUUUUAUAAACUUGUUUUAUAAAUUAAAUUGUUUGAGUUUUAAAAACUAAAAACAAAUUAACAAUUCUAUUGAAGGUACAUGUGACAUUACAUAAAAAUUCUAAUAAAAUAAUUGUACUUCUUAAAUAAAAAAUAUAUAAGUUUCGGUGCUGGUGAAAAGGGCCGCACUCCUGCAGUAUCUUUGGAUCAUAAAGGAUGCUCUUCAGAAGUCCACAUCUCAUCAUCCCUGAUUUAAAAAUUUUAAAAAUUUCAGUGAAGCAGUAAAAAUGGAGACAGAGAUAAGUUAGUACUAACAGAGAGUGAUAAGUUUACCAUCUGAUAAUCGGAAUAUGUUGAAUCUUGAACCAUUCUGGCCCACUCUCUUUCCUGUAUCUUUCUUUCAGAAUUGGACACUCACUUAUGCGUAGAAAUCGGAGGCAAUGAGAUUCAUCAAACAGAGACACUCUCUCCAAAUCCUUACAAUUCUGAAUAGAUAAGUCCGCAAGAGAUGGAAGCUUCGCUAUUGACAGGACAAGAUCUUUCAUACCUCCGAAAUCACAUAUAAAUAACUCGGUCAACGCAGGGAAGGUGGAGAGCUGAAGCUGCUCAAAGAGCGCUAUUGACUUUACCAUUUCCGUCCCUCGCAGAGACAGCCAAACUAGGUUAGGGAAUGAAUGUAAUGAAGAAGAGAAUGGCCAUGGAAAUUCAUCCGAGAAGGGACCUAAGCUUAAUUCUCUAAGUGUGGAACUCUGAAUUUGGGUGGAGAUUCCAUCUAGAAGAGAGGAGGGGAGCCCGCUUAAGUAGAGAGAUCUUAGACCAGCUGAUCCUUCAACUAAAUUAAUACUUACUAGAUUCGGGCAAUCAUAUACAGACAAGAUCUUAAGAGAGACACCAAGGGUGAGAUGCUGUAAACCCUUGCAGUCAACUAGGUCUAAUGAGGUCAAAGACAGAGAAUUAUUUUUCAAUAGCACUUUGAGUAUUGAUUCCAAGUUUGAACAAGAAGAAGAAGAUGAUGAUGAUGAUGAUGAUGAUGAUGAUGAUGAAUCUCCUCCUCCGUCCCUGAUAUUCUGCAGUUUUAAAGUGGUGAGUGAGCUAACAUGCAUAUACAUACUUUCUAGUAUUCUCUCCGAAUUUGUAAUACUCAAAUCUUUCAAGGACGGAAAACAGCUAUUCAGGAUCUUUCUCAACUUUGGACAAUCUGAGAUUUCCAACUCCUCAAGUUUAGGGAAUACAAUUUGGUCUUUACCCCCUUUACUCAAAACGUCUUCCACCCAUUCUUCUAGCUUUGGCAAUCUCCUCAAAGUGAGUGUUGUCACUGACGGAUACAUUACUGAUGUGACUGCUUUUUGGGCCGGACUUAGGCCUACACAUAAAUCAUUUCCGAUGACCUUGACAUUUUCCAUCUUCUUUAUACAUAUCUCUCUCAGUUUAGGAAGGUGACCCAGUUGUGGAAAUCCUUCGCACCUGCUGCAAUCUGUCACGGCGAUUCUCACCAUGUUGGUCAUCUUUGAUAUCCAUGACGCAAAUUUUUUUCCCAUAAAGUCUUCAAUUUCCAAUACUUUCAGAUUCAGGUGAGGUUCCAAUCCCUCCAACACAGCCUCAUCAUUGUAUUCUCCUUCCUCCCUUUCAUCUUCAUUGUUCCUCCACUUCAACAGUAAAUGUCGAACAUUGGACUUUUCACAGAGCUUUGCUUUACGUGCAUCUUCAAUAUUCUCCACCUCAUUAAGGCCAUAGAGUUUAAGCGAACCUCUAAGAUUUUUUAACAUUCCUAGUUGUCCAACGAGACAGUUUUGAUUUUUCUUCACAACGAAAUGAGGCAGUGUUUGCAAAGAAGUUAACCUCUCAAUCCCAACAAACAUGUAUCUUGUUUUAGUAUAGGCGCCAAUAACAAGAUGUCUCAAGUUUACAAGUUGGCAGAUGUUUUCCGGAAGCUCAUGAGCCAAUGAAAUUCUUAGAGUCUGUAAGUUGUAGAGUCUUGUAACGUGAUUUGGCAGUUUAUAGCUAGUAUUUGAAUAUGCAGUCCUAGAGAUAUCUAAAUGCUUAAGGCAUUUCAAAUUCCCAAUUAAACCAGGCACCUCAUUACAAAAUGAAUUUAAAACCAAAACUCUCAAGUACUUGAGUUUGGGUAACACACAGUUAAAUAUAGUGGCCUCUGCAUAUAGUGCUUGUACUGUAUCAAAGCGUAGCUUAAACAUACUUGGUUUCACAUCUUUGAAUCCUUCCAGCCUUACAUAUGCAGCCUUUGAUCCCUUGUUAACAUCAUGACUUUGAUUUACAGUAGUAGAAUAAUUACUUGACACCUCUAGUGCAAGAUCAUGCACAAGAUCAUGCAUCUUGCACUUGGUAAUAUAUCCGUAUUGAUCCUUUUCCUUUUCUACAUCUUGAAACAAAGAAUUUCCCAACAGAAUUUCAAAGUACUCGUUUCCAAUGUCUUCCAUCAAAACAGUGCUAUCCCCAGGUAGGAAUCCUAAUGCCAUCCAUAUUUGUAUCAAUUCAUCUUUAUAAAUGUCAUGAUCCUUUGGCAUAAUGGAACAAUAUGCAAAACAUCGCUUCAAAGAAGAGUAGGGUAGAUUGUCAUAUGACAGUCUCAAGGAAGACAGUACACCUUUUGAUUUCCAUAUUUCACUGUUCUUGAUUAGCAACCACUCAUCUUCAGUCUUCUUCGAGUACAAUAAACUCCCUAGUGUUUUAAUUGCCAGAGGAAGACCGCCACAUCUUUCGACCAUUGUUUUACCCAAGGCCACAAAUGCCUCAGUCUCUAAAACUCCUCCAUUCAAAAAUGCUCUUUGCUUAAACAAUUCCCAACUAUCUUCCUCUGUUAAUUUUUUGAUCAGAUAGGGAUCAGAACACCGCAUAGCAUCAAUCACUUCCUGCUUACGAGUGGUAACAAAAAUUUUGCUGCCUCUUGCACCCCCAACUCCAAGCAAAGAAUUCCUCAACUUGUCCCACUCUUCUGGUUUCUCAUUCCACACAUCAUCUAGCACAAGUAAAAACUUUUCGCCCUUCAGCUUUUCUUGAAGAUUUUUAAUCAGACCUUCCGCAUUAUCCAACACAGAAGGGCUGGAAGUGAGUGACACUACCAUUUGAUUCAAAAUCAUCAUGAAAUCAAAAUCAUCUGAUACAGUGACCCACAUCCUCUUGGGAAACAUCUUGAUCACAGCAUCUCUAUUGUAAACCAUGCGGGCAAGAGUUGUUUUGCCUUGACCACCCAUCCCGAGUAUUGCCUUCACCUGUAAACCCUCAUCAUUUGGGUUGCACAACAGGUUAACUAGAAAUGAUAUAUCAUCAUCUCUUCCGACAAUCAAUGACUCGUCUUCAAAGGGUUGGGUGUAGCGUAUCUCUCUGUGUUGCACAGUAGAUCUCAAAUGCUCUACUGGCUUAAGUCCAAUAUCAGUUGCCCAUUUACAAAUCUUGUCAAAGGAAGCAUUAAUAUUCUUGAUCUUAUGAGCGACUUUGGAACGAUAUAAUAAGGUGUUCUUAGAAGGAACAAAGAAGUCUCUUACCUUAUGACGAUUCUCCACUUUUCUUCGGGUAACUUCAUACUCGAGUUCAUCCAUAAAAGCUUCAGCUACCUGAGCCACAUCUUCAAGUUUGU